CUACGUGCCAGCAGCCGCGGUAAUACGUAGGUCCCGAGCGUUGUCCGGAUUUAUUGGGCGUAAAGCGAGCGCAGGCGGUUAGAUAAGUCUGAAGUUAAAGGCUGUGGCUUAACCAUAGUAUGCUUUGGAAACUGUUUAACUUGAGUGCAGAAGGGGAGAGUGGAAUUCCAUGUGUAGCGGUGAAAUGCGUAGAUAUAUGGAGGAACACCGGUGGCGAAAGCGGCUCUCUGGUCUGUAACUGACGCUGAGGCUCGAAAGCGUGGGGAGCAAACAGGAUUAGAUACCCUGGUAGUCCACGCCGUAAACGAUGAGUGCUAGGUGUUAGGCCCUUUCCGGGGCUUAGUGCCGCAGCUAACGCAUUAAGCACUCCGCCUGGGGAGUACGACCGCAAGGUUGAAACUCAAAGGAAUUGACGGGGGCCCGCACAAGCGGAGGAACAUGUGGUUUAAUUCGAUGAUACGCGAGGAACCUUACCCGGGCUUGAAUUGCAGACGAACGCUUCAGAGAUGAAG
rnacentral:rRNA from 1 species